rnacentral:rRNA from 1 species
UACGUCGGGUGCGAGCGUUAAUCGGAAUUACUGGGCGUAAAGCGUGCGCAGGCGGUUUUGUAAGCCAGAUGUGAAAUCCCCGGGCUUAACCUGGGAAUGGCAUUUGGGACUGCAAGGCUGGAGUUUGGCAGAGGAGACUGGAAUUCCUGGUGUAGCAGUGAAAUGCGUAGAUAUCAGGAGGAAUACCGAUGGCGAAGGCAGGUCUCUGGGCUAUAACUGACGCUCAUGCACGAAAGCGUGGGGAGCAAACAGG